UACGGAGGGUGCAAGCGUUGCUCGGAAUUAUUGGGCGUAAAGGGUAGGUAGGUGGUCUCAUUUGUCUGGGGUGAAAGCCUUGAGCUUAACUCAAGAAGUGCCCCAGAAACGGUGAGACUGGAGUCCUGGAGAGGGUCGUGGAAUUCCCGGUGUAGCGGUGAAUGCGUAGAGAUCGGGAGGAACACCAGAGGCGAAAGCGGCGACCUGGACAGGUACUGACACUCAUGCACGAAAGCGUGGGGAGC
rnacentral:rRNA from 1 species